rnacentral:lncRNA from 1 species
AGACUUCAAGGAAGAGCCCCAUGGAGGUGAAAGUCAGACCUUUUGAGGAGAAGAAUGGCUGGUGUUGGUAUCUCUAAGUAAGAAAAAGGCUGGGACUUGGACUCUGAGGAGGAGGUGCUGGCCAGCAUGUAGCUGGGCCUGAGGAGGAGGGUGCUGGGUGCUCAAUGAGGCUGUUUCACAAGUUGGAAAAGCUGCAAACUGAAUUCUGCUGUUGCUACCAGAAGGAACUGCCACGGAAAGGGUGAAGACGUAUUGCUGAGGUGACUGUCAUAGGAACCACAAAUACACAGGAAGCCCACAGGAAGCAAAUAGGUAGCAGACAGGAAAGAGCAAGUCCUGUCUUCCUCUUCCAGCCCUUCAGUCUUCCGCUGGUGCUCUAUUAACAGAACCUGACAGGAAGCUGGCUAGCAAAGCAAAAAUGAUGUUUGCAGCAUCACAAGGAAGAGAAUAAAAGAUCAGGCUUGGAGCUGAGGUGUAACAACUUAAUAACUGGGUCCUUCUUCCUUGGUGUAGGACAUCUUCUCAUCUCUUUUCUUGACUUCUUCUCUUGGACCUGCUUGUUCAUCAAGCUUUUUCCCGUCUUUCUUUCCUCUUUCAAAUUUUUUAUAUCUUAUUUAUACUUUUGUAAUUAGCAAAUACUACAGAGCCUAUUACAGGGGAGAUAGAAGGUGCUCCGAGUGUCUGCUGGCCUAAUGCUAUGUGCCAGAAGAGGUACACACUCUGAUUGCUAUAGAGGCUCAGGGGAAGAUGUGACUAUGGUAAAUUUGGUUGUCACAGAGGCUUUGUAGACAAGAUGGGUCUUGAAGUAAAUAAUGAUAAAUGGGAAAAAUUUAAAUAAAUGGGGAGAAGGAUGAGGCAUUCAAGAUGUAGGCACAGCAUGAACAAAGACCCGGGCUCUUAAUGGGCUUGGUGUCUUUGGAAGACAAACAUGGUGAGAGUUGAGGUUUCCUGUAGCAGUUUGAGACCUGAAUAUGGGUAGAGGCCCCUGAGUGAUAGAAUUAUAAAGAAGCAAUUGGGAUAUUGUUCAUAGGAGCUGAUGAGGAGACAUCCAUGACUUUUUCUGCAGGAGAGAGUCAUGAUGAAGAAGGUGUUGAAUCAGAGGACUGUGGACUGGGGUGGGGUCUUAGUCACAGUGCAGAUCUUGAACACACGUGUGUAACACACUUAAUAGAAAUCAGGAAAUCAGGAAGUGAAACAAGUUUUUAGAAAGUCUUUACUGUUCCUCAGAUUUUGAUUAUACUGACUUUAAUUUCAGCACCCACAUUUAGAAUCAGGGAAUUGCAGAGAGAGAGAGAGAGAAUGAACUAGGGUGAAGUCCAGGUUAGGAGAGCAUC